UACGGGGGGAGCAAGCGUUGUUCGGAUUUACUGGGCGUAAAGGGCGCGUAGGCGGCCUCUGCAAGUCGACUGUGAAAUCUCCGGGCUUAACCCGGAAAGGUCAGCCAGAUACUGCAGGGCUAGAGUGCAGAAGGGGCAACUGGAAUUCUCGGUGUAGCGGUGAAAUGCGUAGAUAUCAGGAGGAACACCGGUGGCGAAGGCGGGUCUCUGGGCAGUAACUGACGCUGAGGAGCGAAAGCGUGGGGAGCGAACAGG
rnacentral:rRNA from 1 species